rnacentral:piRNA from 1 species
AUAGCGACGUCGCUUUUUGAUCCUUCGAUGUCGGC